GGGGUUGUAGCUCAGCGGUAGAGCGCUCGCCUAGCACGUGUGAGGCGCUGGGUUCCAUCCUAGGAACCACA
rnacentral:tRNA from 1 species